rnacentral:rRNA from 1 species
AACGAACGCUGGCGGCAGGCUUAACACAUGCAAGUCGAACGCGAAAGCCCUUCGGGGUCAGUAGAGUGGCGCACGGGUGAGUAACGCGUGGGAAUGUACCGUUUAGUACGGAAUAACUUCGGGAAACUGGAGUUAAUACCGUAUACGCCCUCCGGGGGAAAGAUUUAUCGCUAAACGAUCAGCCCGCGUGACAUUAGAUAGUUGGUGGGGUAAUGGCCUACCAAGUCGACGAUGUCUAGCUGGUCUGAGAGGAUGAUCAGCCACACUGGAACUGAGACACGGUCCAGACUCCUACGGGAGGCAGCAGUGGGGAAUAUUGGACAAUGGGCGAAAGCCUGAUCCAGCCAUGCCGCGUGAAUGAUGAAGGCCCUAGGGUUGUAAAGUUCUUUCAUUGGUGAAGAUAAUGACGGUAACCAAAGAAGAAGCUCCGGCUAACUUCG